rnacentral:misc_RNA from 1 species
CAAGAAUUCCCCAACAUACCAAAAAGUUUCGAUCUUGAAUACGCACGGUAGGGAACCGUUUAGCAAGCCGUCGCAAUUUGGGCUAGACAAAUACAUAUGUAGCGUGACUGUGUACUACUGACAGCGGGUCUAGCAUCUCAUAACAGAUUCGUAUUCAAGAGUGUAUAUUUCGGCGAUACCGACAAGAAAACGCUCUCUCAAUGGCGGGGGUGGUAGACAUCGAUAGCGAGCAUCAGAUGAAGGAGUACUUUCGUAUUCUCGACACGAAGAUUAUCGGCUAUAUACCAUACGAUGAGUUUCAUCUGAUCAUCAAAGGCUUCCAGGGGGAAAUCUCGCUGACAGACGAGGAAGUCACCAACGUUUUAGACGUCGUCGACAACAACAAGGAUGGAAGAAUUACAUUUAAUGAGUUUUACAAGUUUAUGUGUGCUGACUAGCUGAGACGCCAUGAGUCCCGGAACACCGCCGAACAGUGACAAAGACACUAUCAUACAACUGCGACCUGUGCUAGCUGAAAGUACUCAUACUGUUUAGAAUUCAAGAUGGCUGAUAACUGUGUUCAACUUGUCUUCUGAUUGGCUACCCUCGUUAUCACGUGACCCCGCCUCAAUGAUGUCAUACCCUCGGAAAGUUACCUGUUCCAGAGUCUAGCCCGAUAACACUCCUAUAUCACCAGGUGGAUGAUUUUCCUCUAUUUACAUGGUUAUACGUAUAUAUUAUAUAUUUUGUACCUUUUUGAAAUAAACAUAAGCUAUACACAUAUUUAUUGAAACGUUAACUCCAACUAAUACGGAAUAUAUUUUAUGUGAAAUUAACAAUUUUGAUUGUCAGUGUAUGGCCUUGUGACGUUACUUUGUCUUGAUAUUGUCCAGGAAGCCAUGCAAUGUAUUACACAUGUCUUUUGUGAAUAUAUAACUGACGGAUUAUUAUCACAAGAGCCUAGUAAUUGUGUAAAACAUUAUGUAAUACAAAUAAUAGAAUAGUUCCCGAUGGUGUUGUUUCGUUUAGUGUCAGAGAGUUGAAAUAGAAUGAAAAUGACACGGAAGGACACGAGUACCUUGUCUAACACCACUUGUUAAAAGACGAAUUUCUGUAUAAAAACGAAAUGGUAACAUAUUUUGCAUAAAAUGCACUUCUUUACUAAAACUGAAAAUCAAUUAAUAUGAUUCUUUAUGAUCUGAAAUGUCAUAUAUAAGACCAAUGUGACACAUGUGUCUCAUAGGUGUGGGUUAUUUUAUGAAAGCAAGGGUCAAUAUAUGUUAUCUUUGUAUGUUGUCAUGGCAAUGCAUUCAUUCAAAGGGAGACAAUGCAUGCAUAUGCUGAAAGGACAUUGCUACUGGAGAUCAUAUUUACAUAUUUAUUUUCGAGGGUUUUGACUCGGAUGUAAACUUACCGUCACCAGAACCCAUGGUACAUACCCAUUACAACUACAAGUAAAUAUUUAGAAGUA